UGAGACUUACUGAACAAUUAAAGGCAUGCCCUUUACAAAGAAUUCAAAGAGGUGCCAAGCAUGUUGAUGAUGGUGCGGUAACAGGAAUCUUCACAUGUGAAAUCAGCACGCAGGCUGACACCAUUCUUGACAUUGUCACCACCCAGACGAUGCGAGAGCUUUUGUGCACUGAAGCCGGCUAUUCCACUUGGGUUACUAAUGUCGUAUUUGCUGUCACCAUGGCAUUCCAUAUCUGGAUUUGACGCUUGGGGCUGUGCGCAGUUUUCAAAUGUCACAAGUUGAGACUUUUGGAACUUUGAGGUGCCAGAGCAGUACCGAAUAGCCCUCCUCAAUUUAACUUGACUACCACCCGCCCUGCAUAAAUAACAGGCUGCGACAAUGGAUUUAAUGUUAGUUUUCUUUUGGUUUCAACUUCAUUAUCAUUGUAAAUUUGAAUGUUUAAAAUAAUUUUCAUAUCAUCUCUUACUUUUUCAUUUUUUCACUUGGUUUUGACAUUUUUUUUGUAUUUACCUAAUUGAAAAAUAAACUUUGACUUGUUGUUGCCUUU